AAACCAUGCAUUGGGGAUUUUCUAAUUAACUCCUUGAAUCGUUCCCAUGCUUCAUAUAAUGUUUCAUCCUCAAAAAUUGCCAAAAAGACGUAAUAUCGUUCCUUAAUUA
rnacentral:snoRNA from 1 species